rnacentral:tRNA from 1 species
ACGAACAUGUUGAAAUUGGUAAACAAUCUUUUCUUAAGCAAAAGUGGGAGGAAUCCCUUAAGAGUUCAAGUCUCUUUGUUCGUA